rnacentral:rRNA from 1 species
AUUAAAUAGACGAGUUUGAUCCUGGCUCCGAGUGAACGCUAGGGAUAUGCUUUACACAUGCAAGUUGAACGUAAUUUUUAAGUAAGAUUAAGUAGCGUAAGGGUG